AUUGAACGCUGGCGGCAUGCCUUACACAUGCAAGUCGAACGGCAGCACGGACUUCGGUCUGGUGGCGAGUGGCGAACGGGUGAGUAAUAUAUCGGAACAUACCCUAGAGUGGGGGAUAACGUAGCGAAAGUUACGCUAAUACCGCAUACGAACUAAGGUUGAAAGCGGGGGAUCUUCGGACCUCGUGCUCAUGGAGUGGCCGAUAUCUGAUUAGCUAGUUGGUGAGGUAAAGGCUCACCAAGGCGACGAUCAGUAGCUGGUUUGAGAGAACGACCAGCCACACUGGAACUGAGACACGGUCCAGACUCCUACGGGAGGCAGCAGUGGGGAAUUUUGGACAAUGGGGGCAACCCUGAUCCAGCAAUGCCGCGUGAGUGAAGAAGGCCUUCGGGUUGGU
rnacentral:rRNA from 1 species